AAAGGUGGCUAUAGCAUCGGGGAUCCACCUCUAACCAUUCCGAACAGAGCAGUUAAGCCCGAUCACGCCGAUGGUACUAUG
rnacentral:rRNA from 1 species